rnacentral:rRNA from 1 species
AUCAACGCUGGCGGCGUGCCUCAGACAUGCAAGUCGAACGAUUAAAGCUCUCUUCGGAGAGUGCAUAAAGUGGCGCACGGGUGAGUAACACGUAAGUAAUCUACCUUCGAGUGGGGAAUAACUCAGGGAAACUUGAGCUAAUACCGCAUAACGCAGCGGCAUCUUAGGAUGACAGUUGUUAAAGAUUUUAUCGCUUGAAGAGGAGCUUGCGGCAGAUUAGGUAGUUGGUAAGGUAAUGGCUUACCAAGCCUGCGAUCUGUAUCCGACCUGAGAGGGUGGUCGGACACACUGACACUGAAUAACGGGUCAGACUCCUACGGGAGGCAGCAGUCGGGAAUUUUGGGCAAUGGGCGAAAGCCUGACCCAGCAACGCCGCGUGAAGGAUGAAGUUUUUCGGAAUGUAAACUUCGUAAGAAUAGGAAGAAUAAAUGACGGUACUAUUUGUAAGGUCCGGCUAACUACGU